UCUCAGGAAUCAAAAUUUCUUCCGGAACCCAAUCAAAAUUUCUUUCACACCUAGGAAUCCUCUUCUUCUCACCUAACCGAUUGAACCCAGAAUUUCUCACUCAAUCAAUUGAAACUAGAAAUCCUCCAUCAUUUUUCACUCAUUCUCCAUCGUUCUCCUAAAUCGAUUGAACCCAACCCUCACUCUUCUCUUUCCUCGUCACUCAACCCUACUCACGAACUCGUUGAAAUCCUAAACCCCAAAAUCUUAAGACCUGUUGAAAUCAGAACUCAGAACCUAGAACUCGUUGAAACCCUAAAACAUCUUCCCCAUCAUUAACUACCGUCCAUCGUUCCAGAGGUCGUUGAACACAAAAUCACCACCGUCCAUCGUUCUAGAGGUCGUUGAGCCCAGAAACUCUUCAUCGUUCUCCAUCAUUCACCGCAAUUGAAUCUCGUCUCGUUAGAACCCGUCUCUAGUCUGUGGAGGUUAUUAAAAUUCCAACUGCUAACAUUGGUGUUAAUUUGGAGAACAUUGAUUGAUAUGGAAGGGUAACUGCAAGAAUCAAGUGUGACGUGAAUGAUAAUCUUACUCUUAAAACCAAUGCUCAAGUGUGUGUUUUUGUUUCAAUUAUGAGCAAUAUAGCUUAUGAUAUUCUGCUGUUUCUACUUCCCUGAUUAGUUAACAUGUAUCUUUUAGAUUUUAUUAUUAUAAAUGUUAUGAAAGUAUGAUACUGUUUUCUUGUGCCUAGUUAAGUUAGAAAUGGUUACUUACAACUUAUCAACGGCUGAAAAGGAAAACUUAUAUGUCAUGGAAUGACCACUUAAUUUAUUUCUAGAGUAUUUAUUUGGUUUAUGACAUCUCCUGCCUCGCGUCUACCCACAAUUGCGUCACCAUUAUGCUCACAGUUUCAUUCAUUCAUAGUCUCACACAAUAUCACUCUCAUCUCUAUUUAGCUCUCCUCACAGUCUCGCUCGCAAUGUUUAUAUUUUUCUAAUUUUAAGUUCAUUUGCUUUAACAAUGUUUUGUAGAUUUGUGUGGUGUGUCUCUUGUGAAAGCAAAUCAACAAGAUAGAAGGGUUGCAACUCAUUUUGCCAAACGAUUUGGCAUUUCAUCACUUGUCUCUUUCUGCCCUGCUGGGAGAAAACAUCUACAACUACAAUUUUAGAGAGCUACUUGCCCAUCCUAUUUCUUUGUUUCAAGACAUUUGAAAGUCUUGUUAUGAUUAAGCCCUGAAUUUGAGGGUUGUGGAUUCAAAAUGACAUCAAUAUCUACUCAGCAACAGUUCUGAUAUGCCCAGCCACCGUCGAAGCCUAUUAGAGCAUUCACUUGGCAAGGUCAUUGAGAACUUUAUAUUUUUGGUUGGUGUCUCCCGAUAUUAAAGUUUAGCAUGCUUCUUUUUAAUUGUGAAACUUCUCAAUAUUACUCCCAAAGACAUGACUUUAAUUUUUUUAAAGAGUUACAAGCUUGUCUUAUAGCUUUCAAAGAAUUAGCUUGAUGUGAUGAAGGUCAAAUGACAUUUGAUGUAAUGGGUAGUUCAAUGACAAUUUUCUAGAGGUUAAGAAGCUCUACAUCCAGAGGAAAAAUUAAAUCAAAUAGUUGAAAAAGAUCUAAUGACAGAGUGACUUUGUUAAAUGGGAAGAAAUGGUCCACGUAGCACUCAUAUGUAGACAUUUUAGGUGACUCUGUUGAUUAUGUGUAAUUGCAUAUGCCUCUAAGCAUUAGUACUCAGGCACCACAUGAGCUAAACUAAGGCUUUUCUCUUGUACUAGAUCAACGAUUUAGAAACUGAGUGGUGUCAUUCAUACAUGCUAUAAGCAAAGGAUUGAUUAAGUUUGAAAUUUUGAGUUGUAUUUUGUUGUUGGAUUA